rnacentral:rRNA from 1 species
CCUACGGGUGGCAGCAGUCGAGAAUCAUUCACAAUGGGGGAACCCUUAUGGUGCGACGCCGCGUGGGGGAAUGAAGGUCUUCGGAUUGUAAACCCCUGUCAUGUGGGAGCAAAUUAAAAAGAUAGUACCACAAGAGGAAGAGACGGCUAACUCUGUGCCAGCAGCCGCGGUAAUAAAGAGGUCUCAAGCGUUGUUCGGAAACACGGGGCGUAAAGCGUGCGUAGGCUGUUUCGUAAGUCGUGUGUGAAAGGCGCGGGCGCAACCCGCGGACGGCCCAUGAUACUGCGAGACUAGAGGAAUGGAGGGAGAACAGGAAUGGGCGGGGGAGCAGGGAAAUGCGGAGAUAGCGAGAGGAA